GAUGAACGCUGGCGGCGUGCUUAACACAUGCAAGUCGAACGAUGAAGCCCAGCUUGCUGGGUGGAUUAGUGGCGAACGGGUGAGUAACACGUGAGUAACCUGCCCUUAACUCUGGGAUAAGCCUGGGAAACUGGGUCUAAUACCGGAUAGGAGCGUCCACCGCAUGGUGGGUGUUGGAAAGAUUUAUCGGUUUUGGAUGGACUCGCGGCCUAUCAGCUUGUUGGUGAGGUAAUGGCUCACCAAGGCGACGACGGGUAGCCGGCCUGAGAGGGUGACCGGCCACACUGGGACUAAGACACGCCCAAGACUCCUACAGGAGGCAGCAGUAGGAAAUAUUGCACAAUGAGCGCAAGCCUGAUGCAGCGACGCCGCGUGAGGGAUGACGGCCUUCGGGUUGUAAACCUCUUUCAGUAGGGAAGAAGCGAAAGUGACGGUACCUGCAGAAGAAGCACCGGCUAACUACGUG
rnacentral:rRNA from 1 species